UUCCGGAGUUUCACACCCAUCA
rnacentral:miRNA from 3 species